rnacentral:rRNA from 1 species
UACGAAGGGGGCUAGCGUUGCUCGGAAUCACUGGGCGUAAAGGGCGCGUAGGCGGCGUUUUAAGUCGGGGGGGAAAGCCUGUGGCUCAACCACAGAAUGGCCUUCGAUACUGGGACGCUUGAGUAUGGUAGAGGUUGGUGGAACUGCGAGUGUAGAGGUGAAAUUCGUAGAUAUUCGCAAGAACACCGGUGGCGAAGGCGGCCAACUGGACCAUUACUGACACUGAUGAGCGAAAGCCAGGGGAGCAAACGGG